GGAGGCUGAGGCAGGAUCACCUGAGCCCAGGAGUUCCAGGCUGUAGGGCCCUAUCAUCACACCUGUGAAUAGCCGCGGCACUCCAGCCUGGGCAACACAGUGAGAU